GACGAACGCUGGCGGCGUGCCUAAUACAUGCAAGUAGAACGCUGAAGAGAGGAGCUUGCUCUUCUUGGACGAGUUGCGAACGGGUGAGUAACGCGUAGGUAACCUGCCUGGUAGCGGGGGAUAACUAUUGGAAACGAUAGCUAAUACCGCAUAAUAGUAGAUGUUGCAUGACAUUUGCUUAAAAGGUGCAAUUGCAUCACUACCAGAUGGACCUGCGUUGUAUUAGCUAGUUGGUGAGGUAACGGCUCACCAAGGCAACGAUACAUAGCCGACCUGAGAGGGUGAUCGGCCACACUGGGACUGAGACACGGCCCAGACUCCUACGGGAGGCAGCAGUAGGGAAUCUUCGGCAAUGGACGGAAGUCUGACCGAGCAACGCCGCGUGAGUGAAGAAGGUUUUCGGAUCGUAAAGCUCUGUUGUAAGAGAAGAACGAGUGUGAGAGUGGAAAGUUCAC
rnacentral:rRNA from 1 species